AUGCUUCUACUACACCAAAUGAAUGUUGAAUCUGGUGAUGGACUACCAUUUGGAGCAGUCAUUGUUCAAAAUGAUGAAGUUGUUGUUAGUUGUCAUAACAUGUUUUUAAGAAAAGAUAUCAUGUUUCUCAUGCUGAGUUUUAUCGCUGAUGCACAGAAGGACACUAGUUCUCAUCAGAAGUCUCAGUUGGAGAUUAAAAAGAUAGAAGGUACUACAACUGCAAUUGCAGAACAAGUAUUUGCAAACACAAAGGGCAAGUAUGUUCUUUACUGA